rfam:Hoeflea olei strain JC234 contig_12, whole genome shotgun sequence.
ACCAAAGAGGCAUUUACCACGGGUUAAUGCUCAUUUCGCGGUCAAAGUCUUGGGAGGAUAGGAUCUCAGGCGCGCUUUGCUCGCAGCCCCCGGGAAACCGGGAAACAGAUCACGCGACACCUGAACAACAAGGCCAAGUGCCUUGUUUUUUUUU